rnacentral:rRNA from 1 species
GACGAACGCUGGCGGCGUGCCUAAUACAUGCAAGUUGAGCGCUGAAGGUUGGUACUUGUACCCACUGGAUGAGCAGCGAACGGGUGAGUAACGCGUGGGGAAUCUGCCUUUGAGCGGGGGACAACAUUUGGAAACGAAUGCUAAUACCGCAUAAAAACUUUAAACACAAGUUUUAAGUUUGAAAGAUGCAAUUGCAUCACUCAAAGAUGAUCCCGCGUUGUAUUAGCUAGUUGGUGAGGUAAAGGCUCACCAAGGCGAUGAUACAUAGCCGACCUGAGAGGGUGAUCGGCCACAUUGGGACUGAGACACGGCCCAAACUCCUACGGGAGGCAGCAGUAGGGAAUCUUCGGCAAUGGACGAAAGUCUGACCGAGCAACGCCGCGUGAGUGAAGAAGGUUUUCGGAUCGGAAAACUCUGUUGGUAGAGAAGAACGUUGGUGAGAGUGGAAAGCUCAUCAAGUGACGGUAACUACCCAGAAAGGGACGGCUAACUACGUG